GACGGAGGAUGCAAGCGUUAUCCGGAAUUAUUGGGCGUAAAGCGUCCGCAGGUGGCUUUUCAAGUCUGUUGUCAAAGCGCGGGGCUUAACUCCGUACAGGCAAUGGAAACUGUGAAGCUAGAGUAUGGUAGGGGUAGAUGGAAUUCCCGGUGUAGCGGUGAAAUGCGUAGAUAUCAGGAGGAACACCCAUAGCGAAGGCAGCUUGCUGGGACGUUACUGACGCUAAGGCGCGAAAGCGUGGGGAGCGAACAGG
rnacentral:rRNA from 1 species